AUGUCUCUCCUCUCUCACUCUCCUCUCUCUCUCUCUCUCUCUCUCCCUCCACUAUCUCUCUAUCUCUCUCCUCCUCUCUCUCUCUGUUUCCUUCUCUAUGUCUCUCCUCUCUCUCUCUCCUGUCUCUGUUUCCUUCUCUCUCUCUCCUCUCUCUCUUCUCCUCCUCUCUCUCUCCCUCCACUAUCUCUCUCUUCUCUCUCCUCUCUCACUCUCCUCUCUUUCUCUACUCUUCUCCUCCUCUCUCUCCCUCCACUAUCUCUCUCUUCUCUCUCUCUCCUCUCUGUUUCCUUCUCUCUCUGCUCUCUCUCUUCUCCUCCUCUAUCUCUCUCUUCUCUCUCCAUCUCUCUCUCUGCUCUCUCUUCUCCUCCUCUAUCUCUCUCCCUCCACUAUCUCUCUCCAUCUCUCUCUCUGCUCUCUCUUCUCCUCCUCUCUCUCUCUCUCUCCACUAUCUCUCUCUUCUCUCUCCAUCUCUCUCUGCUCUCUCUUCUCCUCCUCUCUCUCUCCCUCCACUAUCUCUCCCUUCUCUCUCUCUGCUCUCUCUUCUCCUCCUCUCUCUCUCUCCCUCCACUAUCUCUCUUCUCUCUCCAUCUCUCUCUCUGCUCUCUCUUCUCCUCCUCUCUCUCUCCCUCCACUAUCUCUCUCUUCUCUCUCCAUCUCUCUCUCUGCUCUGUCUCUUCUCCUCCUCUCUCUCUCCCUCCACUAUCUCUCUCUUCUCUCUCCAUCUCUCUCUCUGCUCUCUCUUCUCCUCCUCCUCUCUCUCUCCCUCCACUAUCUCUCUCUUCUCUCUCCAUCUCUCUCUCUGCUCUCUCUUCUCCUCCUCUCUCUCUCUCCCUCCACUAUCUCUCUCUUCUCUCUCCAUCUCUCUCUCUCUCUCACACACACACACACACACACACACACACACACACACACACACACACACACACACACACACACACACACACACGCACACACACAUCCUCAAAGAAAACCGAAAACACAGUCUGCACGACACUCCAGGCCAUCAACAUCAUCACAGUUCUAUAUUCAGUCUGGAGAACAGAGGGAGGGGAGAGGAAGAGCAGAGGAGGGAGGACGAUUGGAGGGAUGGUGGGGGAACAGCUAAGCAGCCGUCACUUCCUGUUUACUAUAGCAGCUUCCUAUUCCACACAGAGAGAUGAGAGACUGUUGCUGUUACUAGGCACUUUCUGCCGUCUACUGGUCAUCUACUGGCACUGCCGUAUAUCCACACUACUAACGAAGACCACUGCCAUCUAG
rnacentral:lncRNA from 1 species